rnacentral:lncRNA from 1 species
UCUGUAAUUGAUGAUAUUUUUCAGAUGGUUAGCUGUUGUUGCCUUAUUAUAAUAUAAUAAAGGCAUUUGACACUGCAUUAUUGCCUUAUUUGACUAUAAUGAAGGUAUUUGAUACUAUCUUGAUGAAUUAUUUAUCAUUUUGUAUUAAGAACUUUAGUUAUUGUUUCAUUUGCCUUAUUUGUCUAACGUAGUCGAUAUUUUUUUCAGUAUUUUAUUGUCCUACAAUAAUGAUGAGCAUAAUAAACGGAAGAGGGAUAGAAUGCCAAGAGUGUACAAGGCAACAAAGAGGGUUAUGAUCAUCAUUUGAAUAUGGCAGUUGCGCUAUAUAUCAAUAAUGGUUGAGUCAAAAUAUCAUGUAUAGUAACCUUGAAAUGUGUCAUGAUAUCAUUAUAGUCUUAAAUGUUCUCUAUGACUUUUGUAUGCAAAUCGGAU